UACGAAGGGGGCUAGCGUUGUUCGGAAUUACUGGGCUUAAAGAGUUCGUAGGCGGCAUGAAAAGUAGGGUGUGAAAGCCCUCGGCUCAACCGAGGAAUUGCGCUCUAAACUGUCGUGCUCGAGGAAUCUAGAGGUGAGCGGAACUGAUGGUGGAGCGGUGAAAUGCGUUGAUAUCAUCAGGAACACCGGAGGCGAAGGCGGCUCACUGGGGAUUUUCUGACGCUGAGGAACGAAAGCCAGGGGAGCGAACGGG
rnacentral:rRNA from 1 species